rnacentral:tRNA from 30 species
UGGGGUAUCGCCAAGCGGUAAGGCACCGGUUUUUGAUACCGGCAUUCCCUGGUUCGAAUCCAGUACCCCAGCCA